UGCCAGCUGCCAAAGAGGAAGGAGUGCUCUCAUGGAAGGGAUGGAGUAUUUCUGGACUUGCAUCUGUCCACCAUCAGCUAUGAUUUUAUAAUCUUGAGGCUAGAUGACUGCAAUGUACUUUGUGUGGGGUGUACCCUCUCUUGAAGGAAUAUCCUUGGUGCAAGAGGACACUAUGACAUCAGAUGAAGGGACAGGGCUGCCUCGAAGGAAGUGGGAUUGCUCUACAAUGUCCUUGGAAGCCUCAGCUAUGGAUUUCUCUGUCUCUCUUAGCUGCUCCAGUUCAUCCACUCAAAUUGCGAGAAUGCGCUUGUUCUCUCAGGGCCAGAAGCUCCUUCCACUGGGUGCACACAUUACCAAAUCUGCCCCCAGGUAAUCAUACAUGUUGCACUUGAUGCAAUGAACUGGGUAGCCCCAACCUUGCUGCUGGACUUCUACUUGCAUUUUUAAAGUGUGAGAACUUUAGUUUGCCCUUCCAGGACAGUUCUUUUUAUGUUUCCUUUGGAUUAGAAAGUUUGAUUUUACUCUGCCCUCAUUGCAGCUAAAUAUUAAACUAAAGACUUAAGUGUGUGAAUGUAAAACAGAGGUCUAAACUAAUUUUUGAGGGGCAUCAGGUAGAUAUCUAGGUGGGUUAUUUUUAAUUAGAGAAACCACUUACUUUGCAGGCUGUCCUACAUGCCAUAUGUCCUUCAAAGAGCGGGGCAACAAAGUGUUCUGUCUGUUGUCCCCUAUUCACUCACUCCCCUAGUCACUCAGAUGCUCUCCUUUUAUGCCCCCUUGGACCUGAGCUAGCUCUACCCCCUUGGAUCUGAGCUAGCUCUACCUGCUUGUCAGAGCCUCAUUAGGUUACAGGCAGCAGCCCCUCUCCUUGCAAGCCCUCAGCAAAAAGUGCUUACCAAACCCAGAGCACACAGUCCCAACAAGCAACCAAACACUUACUUGGAGUUUGGGAUCAUCAUCACCACGCACCGAAACAGACCAAACUCACCAAGCUCAGAAUCCUGAGCUUGCACUCCAUAUACCCAAAAGGCAGUUUUCCCACUACCAUUUUUGACACUUAUGCAGGAAUGUCCAUAAGCUUGAGCAGUCAGUUGGCUGUGCUCUGGUAGGCAGGUAUGCAAAGGCGUAAGGUGACAUGUGAAUGCCCUGGGUAGCAGUGAUGCACAGGCAGGGCAGUGUCACUGGCCAU